UGGGUGAUCUGCCCUGCACUUUGGGAUAAGCCUGGGAAACUGGGUCUAAUACCGAAUACACCCUGCUGGCCGCAUGGUCUGGUGGGGGAAAGCUUUUGCGGUGUGGGAUGGGCCCGCGGCCUAUCAGCUUGUUGGUGGGGUGAUGGCCUACCAAGGCGACGACGGGUAGCCGGCCUGAGAGGGUGUCCGGCCACACUGGGACUGAGAUACGGCCCAGACUCCGUACGGGGAGGCA
rnacentral:rRNA from 1 species